AGCGUCGUGGCUUCGACCCAUAAGAAGACAUCGAGAAGACGGUGCGACUCCCAUCUUCCCGGGUGCGGGGUUCGGAAUGGGGGACGACAGGGUGAAGGAGGAGGCUCUCCGGAUGCUGGGACUCUUCCCAGUGCUUCCCAAAUUGGUCGUCUUCGAUCUCGAUUACACCCUCUGGCCUUUCUACUGUGAAUGCAGGUCGAAAAGGGAAAUGCCAUCUCUUUAUCCACAUGCUAAGGGCAUAUUGUAUGCUCUAAAGGAUAAAGGAAUAGAUGUUGCAAUUGCUUCUCGAUCACCAACUUCUGACAUAGCAAAAACAUUUCUUGAUAAGUUGGGUAUCCAGUCUAUGUUUGUAGCCAAGGAAAUAUUCUCCAGUUGGACUCAUAAGACCGAGCACUUACAGAGAAUUCAUCGCAGAACAGGCAUACCUUUCAAAUCAAUGCUCUUCUUUGAUGAUGAAGACAGGAAUAUUGAAGCAGUAACUUCUCUUAUUCUUUUCUUCAGUCUCUCUUUAUUUCAUUAUGUUUUUCAAGUCAAUCACUACUGGAUACCCGAUGUUCCUUUUAUCGUAAAAGAUCCAGUAACGUAGUGGACACACUGGAGUGAUGUCCUAAAGAUAAACCCACCAAUUUGGAGGAAAUUUUGAGAAAGUAUCAUUUUGCAUUUAUCCAUUUUUCAAUAUGAAGCUUUACACAUGCCCUUAUUUAUAACCACAUAUAAGCCCUUUGUAUUUUCUAAAGAUUGCAUUUCACCCCUUGGUGUAAAGCUCCAUUAUCUAAUGAGAUAAAUAGUCAGCUGACUAUAUCAUCCUCUUUUUCACUUCACUUCCUCCACCCUGCUGUUCUUCUUCUCCCUUAUUAUAUUUCUCAUUUAUUCUUCUCAUCUCUUCCUCAUAAUCCUUCCCUGCCACUUGCAUAUGCAUAUAGAAUUUAUCUUUUGGUAUCGAAAUACAACUUGCCAUGCAUAUUUAACCAUGCUGAGGUAGAGAGGUGUUU